UACGAAGGGGCUAGCGUUGCUCGGAAUCAUUGGGCGUAAAGCGCACGUAGGCGGUUUGUUAUGUCGGAUGUGAAAGCCCUUGGCUCAACUGAGGAAGUGCAUCCGAAACUGGCAGCUAGAGUACUAAAGAGGGUCGCGGAAUUCCCGGUGUAGAGGUGAAAUUCGUAGAUAUCGGGAGGAACACCGGUGGCGAAGGCGGCGACCUGGGUAGAUACUGACGCUGAGGUGCGAAAGCGUGGGGAGCGAACAGG
rnacentral:rRNA from 1 species